GGAGAACAGGUUCUGGAGGGGUGGGAGUUUACAGCCAAUCACCUUCUCAGCAGCACGUACGAUGCGCUGCAAUCGAUGCUUGUCCCGAACUGUGGCGCCGGGGAACCACACGAUGGCAGAGCAACCUUUCGUUCCGGCGUGACGAGCUGUGUGUCUCGUCUUCCCUUGUGUUCCCCUCUGGUUCUCUGGCUACCUCUUGGAUCGUGACGUCCCACCUGGACAAAGACCUUUUGACGCCCCUCUAUCUCCUCCCCAAUUUCCUGCCUGUCUCGGAAAUCUACGAGCCUGCCCUUUUGGACUUGCCUCUCUUCUCGCUCAGCACUCACGGAGGGGCCGUCCCACCUGCACGUCGUCCGCCAUCUCUGCAUCCUGGGCUCACCCCAACAGCAACCAUGCGACACUGUGUAACUCGUCCAAAGUCUGCACUAUAACCCCUUUUUUAAUCUACUACGUGGAAAAAUACGCAGAUAAGGACGGAUUGGUGCCAAAAUAUUUGGACACAUUUGCAAGCCCAACUGGCCGCCAUCGUCUUGGGAAAGUCGCCUCCACAACAAUCCAGUUGAGCGGCGGCCAAACGGGCCGGGGGUGAAAUUUUCUCCACAUUUCCAGUUACAAGCUCAAUGGGAAAUGUUUGACCUCCUGAGAAGAGGCGGGGGAGACAUUUCCUCGCUGACCUCUCCGCAUGAUGCCAUUAAGUGGACAUUCCUGGCCGGGACCCUGCCGGCACAUAUCGUACAUCAUCUUUCAAAGUGCUCAGUGCUUUGUUCUCCUGCGCCCACUAUUCCCAACUGGUGCAAAUAAUGGCGACAAAUCAUUGCAACAUCAAAGCCAGGAAGUCAGUUUUGUAAAUAAACAAACAUGGCUUUAACAAAUCACUUUUAUUCAAGGAUUCCCAAUGCAAACAAUUUGGAUUCAGGGGCAAAAAAAACAAAACACUUUUAUUGGUCUCAUUAAACUGAGCCUGUCGUCCACUGGCGGCAGCACCUGGAGGAGUUA